rnacentral:pre_miRNA from 9 species
UCUCGAUAUCGUAAAAGUUAACUCAAAUUUGUAUGGAGUUGGAACGUUUGCCUACGCUUGCCGUUACGGCCGUUGUUCCGACUGCAUACAAAUUUGAGUUAACUUUUACUCUAUCGA